UGUGCCACUGAGGCCCACACCUCAAUUCCCUUCCUCUGUUGCCUCUUUUAUCGGUCUCAUUCUGCUCUCUCAGUUAAACUCCCUCACUUCUCUCUCAUUUUUUCCCCUCAUUUUAUCUCUCUGUCACUUUUCCCCAAGCCAUACAACUAUGAACCACUACCUUCUCCGAGGACUUUAAACACCAAACCACCACCAUCAUCGUCUCCAAACACGGGACUAGUGCCCAAACCUUGACUCGAACCUCAAAUCAGAGAACCACACAUCUUAAACCUGAGAGAAUUCCGGCGAGUUCAUCGCCUUCCCGACCAAGGUUUUCCGAGCUUUUCCUGCCCAAAUCUCGUUGAAGACGAUGAUAUUGACACCAUAAAUAAACUCCUCACAGUCCUAAAGACCAGAUUCGAGCUUUGUUGGUCGAAUCUGUCAUGGAUUCGUAGAGACCCGAAUUGGCCAUGACUAUCAAGCCAUUUUCCAAUCACCUUCGGCCAUCCCUUGGCCUUGAUUUAGGUAUUGAUUCAUAACCUUCGAAUUUGGGUUUCAUUUCAUAACCUUGGCAGAAAAAGGUCCAGAUUCCACAUAGACCGUCUGAUUAAUUUGAUUAUGAAAUAGCAAAGAUGGGUUCUAUUCUUAUGUAUUAAGAUUAUCUUGUUUUACAUUACUAUAAUCAUUAAAUUAUUGAGUUUACUGAUGUUGUGUCAGAGGAUAGGGAAAAACUAUUUGAAGGAAUACUUAAAUAGAAAUGGAGGAUCUUCUUCAUUAAUUCGUUUAUGAAGCAGCAGAGAGUCGAUGAGGUGCAAGGCUUGUUGGGGAAGAUGCAUCUGUCCAAAAAUGUUUGCUUUCAGGUUCUUUUUGCAUUAGAGAUGAGAUAUGUAACAUUACAAUAUAUGUUUGUGAGAUUGAGAAUGUA